UCAAUCCCUUCAACCAUUAAACUGUCAUAAUUGUCACACCACCCCGGCUCUAUAAAUAUGCAGAGCUGUUCCUCAAUAAACGGGCAUUUUCUCCAACGGCAAGCCUUGAUGGUUCUUUCAGAGUUAGCUUAAUGUACAGAGCAGUUUAAGCAUAUUUUAGACUAAAAGUAUAGAAAAUAUGGGUUGAGCAUGCACAUAAGACCCUUUGGCAGGCUGCAGAAAGGCCUGGGGGGUCCCUGCAUGGGUAAGAAGUUCAGAUGGUGGCGAGAGGGGAGCAGGCGCUUAGUGAGGGGAUCUCAGAGACAGGAAAGGGCGUCUGGGAAGCCAGAAGACAAGAGGUGCAGUGUAUCCUGGACAUCUGGAGACUGUCUCAGCCCCUGGGAGAGCAGCCUCCUCCAUCGUAGCAGUGAGAAUAAGGGAGAGGGAGGCUGAGGAGAAGGCAGGAGCAUGAAGGCACAGGCUCAGAAUGGCUGAGAAGUUAGGCAGAAAGAAAGCAUACGUCGGGCUGCCGGUUGGUUGAGGGAUGCCUUUGUUCUGUUCCAUUAGUUUUACUUUUAAACACAAUAAGAACUGAGUCAGAGGAAAGGGAGAGAGGAGGUGGGGAAGAGACUGGGCUACACAGGAGUAAGGAGCAGAACCCUCAGGACCCCCUGAGGAGGGGCUGGGACUGGAACCCAGUGACUGCUGGGUGGGCCAAGAUGAUCCCCAGGUCGACUGGUGACCUCUGGGUGAGCGAGGACAAGGACUGCAGCCUCGGGAGCACAGUGAGAAGAACGUCAUCAUCAGCAAACUUCAAGAGGAAAGUUCAGCUGACUAUGGUCUCCAUGUCUCUCCCUCCUCGGCUCUGGCCAGGGGUCUCUGCAUGUAAGGAUGGAGCUAUCUGGUCUGCCUUUCUCCUGCCUAGCUUUCUCUGUCCCCCAUGGACUUGUGCUCAAGACAGUCUCAGGACGCAGCCUGGUUUCCAUCCUGGGAGGAGUAAAGCCCCCUCUGAAGACUGAGGACCAUCUCCGGGGCGCCCUGCUCCUUGGCUCCCCAUGCUGCAGGAUAAGCAAAUAUAUGCUGAAAUGGCUAAAAACAAAUCUUCGAGAAUACGUGGGCAAAGUAAGAUUUCACACGUCUGCGGUUGCAGGUGAGCCAGAAGCAGCGCCCAUGUGGCAGCUGGCCUGGCAACCUCACGGGGCAAGGCCGACGGGGAAGGGCUGGUAGAGAAAGCACUGCCGCUGCCCACCAGUGUCGAGGUGCAUUCGGAUCAGACGCUUCGAGACAUCAGCAGGUCAGUUGCUGAAGGAGAGAUAUAAACACUCUGCCUGUAAACCUAGGU